rnacentral:misc_RNA from 1 species
GAAAUGUGAUACGUAGUGUGAAUUGCAGAAUUCAGUGAAUCAUCGAAUCUUUGAACGCACAUUGCGCCCUUUGGUAUUCCAAAGGGCAUGCCUGUUCGAGCGUCAUUUGUACCCUCAAGCUUUGCUUGGUGUUGGGCGUUUUUGUCUUUGGCCCGCCAAAGACUCGCCUAAAAAUGAUUGGCAGCCGGCCUACUGGUUUCACAGCGCAGCACAUUUUUGCGCUUGCAAUCAGCAAAAGAGGACGGCAAUCCAUCAAGACUCCUUCUCACGUUUGACCUCGGAUCAGGUAGGGAUACCCGCUGAACUUAAGC